rnacentral:rRNA from 1 species
GAUCCUGGCUCAGAACGAACGCUGGCGGCGUGGAUAAGACAUGCAAGUCGAACGGGGUUGUUUGUGUAGCAAUACAUCGACAAUCUAGUGGCGAACGGGUGCGUAACACGUGAGUAAUCUGCCGGGAAGUGGGGGAUAGCUCGCCGAAAGGCGAAUUAAUACCGCAUGUGGCCAGAGGGGACAUCCCUUCAACGCCAAAGUCGCAAGACGCUUCCUGAUGAGCUCGCGGCCUAUCAGCUUGUUGGUGAGGUAACGGCUCACCAAGGCUAUGACGGGUAGCUGGUCUGAGAGGACGACCAGCCACACUGGAACUGAGACACGGUCCAGACACCUACGGGUGGCAGCAGUCGAGAAUUUUUCACAAUGGGGGCAACCCUGAUGGAGCGACGCCGCGUGGAGGAUGAAGGUCUUCGGAUUGUAAACUCCGUGUCAUGCGAGAACAAGAAAG